rnacentral:rRNA from 1 species
UGGGGAAUAUUGCACAAUGGGCGCAAGCCUGAUGCAGCCAUGCCGCGUGUAUGAAGAAGGCCUUCGGGUUGUAAAGUACUUUCAGCGGGGAGGAAGGCGAUGUGGUUAAUAACCGCGUCGAUUGACGUUACCCGCAGAAGAAGCACCGGCUAACUCCGUGCCAGCAGCCGCGGUAAUACGGAGGGUGCAAGCGUUAAUCGGAAUUACUGGGCGUAAAGCGCACGCAGGCGGUUUGUCAAGUCGGAUGUGAAAUCCCCGGGCUCAACCUGGGAACUGCAUCCGAAACUGGCAGGCUAGAGUCUCGUAGAGGGGGGUAGAAUUCCAGGUGUAGCGGUGAAAUGCGUAGAGAUCUGGAGGAAUACCGGUGGCGAAGGCGGCCCCCUGGACGAAGACUGACGCUCAGGUGCGAAAGCGUGGGGAGCAAACA